CCCUUAUUUACCCUUUCGGAUAGUGUCUUGAACGCACGAACAAAACGCCGCUGUUUGGAUAUAACUAUGGAUUAUUUUGAACCAAACCAACAUUUGUUAUUGAAGUAGAAGUCCUGGGAGUGCAUUCUGACGAAGACAGCAAAGGACCUGAGCCCUAGGACCAUGCCUCAGGACUACCUGGCAUGAUGACUCCUUGCUGUCCCCAGUCCACCUGGCCGUGCUGCUGCUCCAGUUUCAACUGUUCUGCCUGCGGCUUUGGAACCCUGACCUGUUCACCGGACGUGCUUGUUGCACCCUCGACAACUACUAUGAUUAUUAUUAUUAUUUGACCAUGCUGGUCAUUUAUGAACAUUUUAACAUCUUGACCAUGUUCUGUUAUAAUAUCCACCCUGCACAGCCAGAAGAGGACUGGCCAUCCCUCAUAGCCUGGUUCCUCUCUAGGUUUCUUCCUAGGUUUUUGGCCUUUCUAGGGAGUUUUUCCUAGCCACCGUGCUUCUUUCACAUGCAUUGCUUGCUGUUUGGGGUUUUAGGCUGGGUUUCUGUACAGCACUUUGAGAUAUCAGCUGAUGUACGAAGGGCUAUAUAAACACAUUUGAUUUGAUUUUCGGUCAAAAGAGAUGGUUGCAGCAACAUUAUGUACAAAACAAAGUUACACAUGUUGCAUGUGUGUGUGAUUAGUUGUGUUAGUGUGUUUUACCUGCUGAGCAAACAUGUUAGUGUGUCUGCUCUCACAGUGGGCCCACAGAGAGGGAGGAUCUACAGUGCUGUUAAUGGGG
rnacentral:lncRNA from 1 species